GAAGGGAUGAAGAGAUGCCCUUGUUUCCAGACUUGUCUAUCAUUCUUGAAGGAACAGAUGGGCUCCGGAGCUGGGGAAUGUGAACUACCACUCCUGAUGGCUCUGGUCACAUUGAUGACUUUGUUCUUGCCUUACACUUCAGAGCCCAGUGGUUACAGUGGCAAUGGGAGUGUAUGUCCCAGCACAAGGCAUUGCAGACCCUCCCACCUUAGCAGAAUAUAGUUCUUCCUCUGCUCCAUAAGGACUUGGAAUUCCCCAACCUGACUAGUAGAGUGGCAAUAACCAGACUCCUGUGUUUGUUGGGAGAGUUCAGAGUUCCUGAGAAACAGGUUCCCUUGAAGCCCUGCUUCCCUGGGGAAUUGGACCUGAGGCUACCCUGCCUCUGUGUCUCCACAGCUGGUGAUGAAAUGCAUGAGACCAGAAGAUGUGUCGGUGCUGUACAUCACUCAGGCCCAGGAAAUGGAGAAGCAGGGCAAGUACUGUGAGGCUGAAAGGCUCUAUGUGACAGUAGAAGAGUCUGAUCUUGCCAUCACCAUGUACAAAAAGCACAAGCUGUAUGAUGACAUGAUCCGCCUGGUUGGGAAGCACCAUCCAGAUCUCUGCAGUGACACACACCUACAUCUGGGCAAGGAGCUGGAGGCUGAAGGCCGACUACAGGAGGCCGAGUACCACUACCUCGAGGCCCAGGAAUGGAAGGCAACAGUGAACAUGUACCGAGCCAGUGGGUUUUGGGAAGAGGCCUAUGGGCUCCUUUGAAUUUGCUUUUGAACUCUCUCGGCUGGCCCUCAAGCACAAAACCCCCGAGAUCCAUCUCAAACACGCUUUGUACCUGGAGGAUGAGGUACGGGUGUUAUUUGGACCCUGACCGCAGAGCCCUCUUGUUCCAUCCCCUAGUGCACUGCUGCCUGGUGUGCAGACCCCGGUCUCAUGGCUGCCUGUGAUGCCAGUCUCCUUCCCAUCACGCACAGCUGUCCUUCUCCCUGUAGGUUAAAUUGGAAGAGGCUGAAGCUGAAUUCAUCAGAGCUGGUAAAACCAAGGAAGCAGUCCUCAUGUGAGUUACCCCAUACAUUCCUUAAUCCUGUUUCCCCAGUCCCAGUCCCAGAGUCUUUCAUGAUUAUCUUGACCUUCAUUCAAACCUAGAACAAAUCAGUGUUACACACCUCAGUGACAUGGCUGUUUGUCUCCUAGAAUUGGGGCCUCAGUCCUAUACUCAGUCUCUUCUCUGUCCCCAUCUGGGGGCAGGUUUGUCCAUAACCAGGACUGGGAGGCAGCUCAGCGUGUGGCCGAGGUUCACAUGAGGUGCUUGUGGGACAGGCUCGGAGGGCCUUGGAGGAGAAGGAC
rnacentral:lncRNA from 1 species